GUCUCGUUAGCUCAAUGGAAUAGAGCACUGGUCUACGAAGCCAGGGGUUGGAGGUUCGAGUCCUUCACGAGGCACCA
rnacentral:tRNA from 1 species